rnacentral:rRNA from 1 species
UACGGAGGGUGCAAGCGUUUAAUCGGAAUUACUGGGCGUAAAGCGCACGCAGGUGGCUGAGUCAGUCGAUUGUGAAAGCCCUGGGCUUAACCUGGGAAUUGCAGUCGAUACUACUCAGCUAGAGUAUGGGAGAGGGUAGUGGAAUUCCUGGUGUAGCGGUGGAAUGCGCAGAUAUCAGGAGGAACACCGAUGGCGAAGGCAGAUCUCUGGGCCGUAACUGACGCUGAGGAGCGAAAGCAUGGGGAGCGAACAGGA